CACAGAUGCCCAGGGACGGAAGAAGGAACAGACAUGGCGGAGGCUGUGACGUCCCUUCCUUCUCCAGGUCUCGGAGCACGUCAGCAGAAAGAAACACUCCUGGACGAAAGGAAAGGCGUGUAAGGAAUCCCAGGGUCUGGAUUAGGCAUCCCAGCGUGCACUUUGACAGUGAGCACAGCCAUAGGAUCUGACUUGGCUCUGGGAACAUGAUGGAUUUCAUUCCGUGUGUUUUGGACCAAACACAUCCCUUUAGGAUAAAGAGAUCUCUGGAAACCCAAAAUAUUGGAAUAAAACACUCAGC